GAGAGAGUGCUAGUGUAUUAAGACUGGCCAGUAGGGAUCUAUAAGACAACAAAAAGUGUAAGAAUCCAUCGGAAAUUCUGAUUUUCCCUUGGAUGCAAGGAUUGGGAUUCAAAGACAGAGCAAGCUCGAAACACAAGCAUCCCUGCCUAUUUCUGGCAAAGUAACUGUUGUAGAAUUUAUUAGGGGCUCAUGGAUGAAAAUUUAUAGAAGAACAUAUUGGAGAUGACUCUAAAUUCAGUGUGGAAUCCAAAUUCAUCUGGAUCUAUCUGGAGACAGAUGUCUAGGAGGACAGGGCGGAGCCAGAGCCAGUCAUCAGAAAAUUUGGACCAGCAACCUUCAAGUCAAUGAAGAUUUAGUACAGUGCCUGAUACACACAGUAGACAUUUAAUAACUGCAUGUUGAAAGGAUGGCUUUUCCUGGAAAAUGAAUGGAUGCCCAUCAAUUGGAGAAUGGUUGAGUAAAUUGUGGUAUAUGUACGUUAUGGAAUAUUAUUGUUCUGUAAGGAAUGACCAGCGGGAUGAAUACAGAGAGGACUGGCGAGACUUACCUGAACUCAUGCUGAGUGAAAUGAGCAGAACCAGGAGAUCAUUAUAUACCUCAACAACAAUACUGUUUGAGGAUGUAUUCUGAUGGAAGUGGAUCUCUUCGAUAAAGAGAGCUAAUUCAGUUCCAAUUGAUCAAGGAUGGACAGAAGCAGCUCCACCCAAAGAAAGAACACUGGGAAAUGAAUAUAAACUGCUUGCAUGUUUGUUUUUCUUCCCGGGUUAUUUCUACCUUCUGAAUCCAAUUCUCCCUGUGCAACAAGAGAGCUGUUCGGUUGUACACACAUAUAUUGUAUCUAGGAUAUACUGUAACCUAUUCAACAUGUAAAGGACUGCUUGCCAUCUGAGGGAGGGGGUAGAGGGAAGGAGGGGAAAAAUCGGAACAGAAGUGAGUGCAAGGGAUAAUGCUGUAAAAAAUUACCCUGGCAUGGGUUAAAAAAAUAAAAAAAUAAUAAUUAAUAAAUAAAUAAAAAGAAAGGAUGGCUUUUCAGAUUGAGUG